GACUGCGCGGGAACGAGAAAGAAGGACACAUGACCGGCGCCAUUCCAUUAGAGGGUAGGAGAAAGUGAGAGGGAUGCUAUACUUCACGAGCGUAGCUAGCAAAGGGCGUACAGGUUCUAUAAAAGACAAAAAUUUAUUUUUAAUAAUUUUAAUAAGUUAGCCUACCGGCGCGCGCUCACAGACGAGGGGUCGGGCAGGGUCGGGAGGGAUCGACCACCAAGUCAAACGACCGGUCGAGUUUGCGCAGUGGACAAAGCAUAACCGCAGUACAAACUUUUUCCAUGUUCGAAGGGGCAAAUAACAUAAGCUGUAACUGCGGGAGAAGAAACCUCGUACCUCGGCCUUCUGGGUGUCCACGCUGUUCAACGCGACGGCUUCUGCGGCAGGCUCCUCCUGCUCGUUCCUCUUCACGCCGAAGAUGGUUUUGUACGUGAAGGACG